GACGAACGCUGGCGGCGUGCUUAACACAUGCAAGUCGAACGGAAAGGCCCUGCUUUUGUGGGUUGCUCGAGUGGCGAACGGGUGAGUAACACGUGAGUAACCUGCCCUUGACUUUGGGAUAACUUCAGGAAACUGGGGCUAUAACCGGAUAGGAGCUCCUGCUGCAUGGUGGGGGUUGGAAAGUUUCGGCGGUGGGGGAUGGACUCGCGGCUUAUCAGCUUGUUGGUGGGGUAGUGGCUUACCAAGGCUUUGACGGGUAGCCGGCCUGAGAGGGUGACCGGCCACAUUGGGACUGAGAUACGGCCCAGACUCCUACGGGAGGCAGCAGUGGGGAAUAUUGCACAAUGGGCGGAAGCCUGAUGCAGCAACGCCGCGUGCGGGAUGACGGCCUUCGGGUUGUAAACCGCUUUCGCCUGUGACGAAGCGUGAGUGACGGUAAUGGGUAAAGAAGCACCGGCUAACUACGUG
rnacentral:rRNA from 1 species